UACGGAGGGUGCAAGCGUUGUCCGGAAUUAUUGGGCGUAAAGAGCUCGUAGGCGGUCUGUCGCGUCGGAUGUGAAAACUCGGGGCUCAACCCCGAGCCUGCAUUCGAUACGGGCAGACUAGAGUUCGGUAGGGGAGACUGGAAUUCCAGGUGUAGCGGUGAAAUGCGUAGAUAUCUGGAGGAACACCGGUGGCGAAGGCGGCAUCCUGGACCGACACUGACGCUGAGGAGCGAAAGCCAGGGGAGCAAAGCGGG
rnacentral:rRNA from 1 species